UACGUAGGGGGCGAGCGUUUGUCCGGAAUCAUUGGGCGUAAAGCGCGCGUAGGCGGCCCGGUAAGUCCGUUGUGAAAGUCAAAGGCUCAACCUUUGAACGCCGAUGGAUACUGCCGGGCUAGAGUCCGGAAGAGGCGAGUGGAAUUCCUGGUGUAGCGGUGGAAUGCGCAGAUAUCAGGAGGAACACCAAUAGCGAAGGCAGCUCGCUGGGACGGUACUGACGCUGAGGCGCGAAAGCGUGGGGAGCGAACAGG
rnacentral:rRNA from 1 species